rnacentral:rRNA from 1 species
UACGAAGGGGGCAAGCGUUGUUCGGAAUUACUGGGCGUAAAGGGCGCGUAGGCGGCUUAUCAAGUCAGGCGUGAAAUUCCCGGGCUCAACCUGGGGGCUGCGCUUGAUACUGAUUGGCUUGAAUGCGGGAGAGGAUAGUGGAAUUCCCAGUGUAGAGGUGAAAUUCGUAGAGAUGUGGAGGAACACCGAUGGCGAAGGCAGCCCCCUGGGACGAUACUGACGCUGGGGCACGAAAGCGUGGGGAGCAAACAGG